GGCGGGGCUCGUUGGAAGGGCCCGCUGAAGGGUUGGCGGAUGUGAGAAGGAGCGAAGAUGGCGGAGUGAUGCGCCCCGGGGUCCGAUGGCCUCCCGCCCCGGGGCUGCACGGCCCUCGGGAGGCCCAGGGGAGCCGUUGGACUGUGUAAGGUUCUUUACAGGAAGAACAUCUUUUCUUGAGAUUUAGGUGCUUUUCAUUCAUCUCAAAAGCAAAAUUCUGAACUCAGGAUUUGGCGAGUAUUUCUGUGUUGAACUACUGGAGUGGGUAGUACUGCUUCUUUUAUCCAGCCACUUUCUCUGUUCCUGAGAUGUGGGUAUCUCUUCACGUGACACCACCACUACUGGGGAUGGAAAAGACUGCUGUGCUUUUGUUCCACCUUGCAAAUUGAACAGAGAACCCCUCGGUGUGCUGCUAUCCUGAUGAUUUCCCCAGUAAGAGAGUAGCAACUGACUCAAGUCUUCUGCUGCAGUCUGCCUAAUUUUGGGGAAAUGAUUUAACAUGCUAAAGGAUAUUUAAAUUGAAACAGGUGGCUUAGGUGGUGGUGGUUGUGAAUUCUUUAUGUUUUGUUCCAAACAAGGAAACUAGCAAGUACAGAUGAUUUCUGGGCUUUUGCAAUUGUCUUCCAGUUUCAGCCACUAGUGUGCUAGGCAUAUUUGAGACUGCAGCGGUACAUUCCAAAGCCAGCGUUCUAGUUUAAAAUGAAGUGAAGCUAAAAAAUGAUUUGUUUGUAUAGUUGAAUCGUGGUUCAUCCUGUGACAUCAAUUCCCUGUGAAAGUUCAAAGGUCAGGUUUUCCUGGUAAAGCAGCAUGAAGAUGGUACAUUGAGGUUCAUGUCGUGAGUGAAGAAACCAUCAGAGCUUUGCUUAAAAUACACAUUUUGACAUGUGUUAACUACAUUUUUGUGUAAAAAGAGGGAUUUUUCUCCUAAAGAAGAAGUUGUUGAUUUCUUUCUUGGAAGUCGUUGGACAUUUGGUUUUUUAAAAAAUGUAUUUUCAUUUUUCUAAGGAAGAACCAUGUUGUGCAAUAAGGAAUGCUUGGACUUAGUUGAAAAGGUGUUGAAAGAAAGCAAAAGGUUUAUGUGAUAACACCCUAUUCACCUCCCUAGAUGGGAGGCUGCUGUGUUACAAAUUCAUCCCUUUUUUUGUGGACUAACAUAGCACAUGGAGACUUUGUGUUGGGAAAACUAGAAGAAAUUGACGUAAGUGAUUUCUCAGUUCAGAAGAUGUGAUGGAUCCUGUGGCAUAACCUGCCUUCAGCUUUGGACAUAUAGUAAUGAGAACAAAGUUUCUAUGUACUUCCUUUUUCCUAAGAUGGGAUGGGAGGGGAGGUGUCUUAAGAAGCUCUAGCUGACAGUAUGAUAUUUUACCAUAGAUCUUGCCUUUUGUUUUUGUAAAAGCCUAGAUGACCCUUUUCCGUCAGCUCAUGAUGGGUACGUGGAUGUUUGAUUGACUUUUCUCAGUGGUAAGUGUAACGUGUUAGGUGGAGGAGACUGGGACUCAGGUAUCUUUCCCCAGUGGAAAGUGAACUCAGAGUGAAUCUCAGAAGCACUGUUCCCGCAUUUGUGCUUAGGCUGUGGUUAAUUUAGAAGAAUUGGGUCUUCCUUUUUUUCCUCCUUAACAGUUACAGUGAGUGACAAGCAACUACGGGAUGCUACCUCCCACACCAACACAAGACCACUGUGCUAGUUCUUAGAGCUGUACCCAAGAGUGGGUCCUUUGCUUAUUAUUGUUUGUGAGUAAAGAGAGUUUUGAAUUUCUUAGAUGAAAUGAAGUACAGCUAGUGGUGACGGUGUUUUCUGAAUGUCUACCCAGAGCCUUGUAUGCAGUGAUGCUAGAAACCUGGGGCGGGGUUGUCAAAUUUGAACAUGAUAGAAACUACCAAAAUAGGAAAUGUUGAGCCCUCAAGUAAUUUGAUUGGUAAGUCAGUCUGAGUUGGGAUGAACAUUUUAGUAAAAUAAAUAGUAUAGGUAAAAUGUAAUUUAAUUGUGGACAAUUACUGAGGGUAAAAUGUAGCAGACAUAACUUUGGUUAAAGGUUCUUAUACUUUUCUCCUAAGUGAUGCUUUCCUUGUAGUAGUUUCAUUAUUGUUGGAGACGAGAUGGAGCCUGUAUACAUAGGUUCCACUGGAGUGUUGAGAAUCUUGGAUCCUGGAGAGUUUGUACCUUCUUGUGGUCUUACCCAUCUUCUCAUGUCCUUACCACAUCUUUGUGCGUAGAUUCCUUUGGCAGGGCAUAUUGGCACCCAUCAGCCAGUGCUGACCCACCUGUUUCUCCAGGUACCAGACUUUGCCUCUGCAGAUGCUUUCUGCGCUUCACCUCACAGCUCAGAGAACUAGUGUGUUUAAUGCUCUUUCAGAUUGUUCCUGCAUCUUCCAUUGUUGAUACCAGGUAGUAGUUAACAAAAUCAGUAUAUUCCAGUUGUAGUUACCCAGUGUUUACCUAGCUCAUCUGGGAUUCUUUUUUGGGGGGAGGGGAUUGAAUUUACUUCUCUUAAUGGCAAAAGCUGUAAUCUUAGGCAGGGCUGUGCCUCAUGCUGUAGCUAUGCCUCCUUUUUCUUUGCUCAUCCAUAUUAGCUAGCAGUUUUUCUUUUGAAAAGUAAACAAAAACGGGAUAUGUGCAAUAGAAAUAUAUAUAUGUAUAUUUUAAUACUUGUGGACAAAUGUUACAAGUUGUUUAAGAACAACAAAAUCACCAAUGUCUUCCAUUUUGAGAUGUGUAUAGUUUUGUAAGCAUUAGUGCUUGGUAGCAUAUUGUAGUGCCAUGUUAGGGGUUAGUAGUGCAUGAGCCUAGUAAUAAUUUUAAACUUCAGGAUGAAUUAUUGAUAAUAACCAGUAGUGUAGAAAGAGUGGAUUAAAUAGAUCUUUUAUCGUUAAUAUCUGAAUCUGUGAUAUUCUCCCUGGGGAAAAGAGUUUAAGGCCAAAAAGACUCAUUUAUAAAUAGAAAUAGGGGUUUGCAACUUGAAAUACUUUGAGGAUAUUUUUUUAUGAGGUAGCUGGAAACCAGCCGCCUUUGUAUCUUGUGAAACCUCAAAUCUAAAUGAGGCCCCGUUUGAUGAUUCUGCUCUAUUAGUUUGAAAUGAGUUUGUUCUCACAUUGUAUGUUUUGGGCUCAUUAUUUUUCACUCCAUGUACAUCAGAAAAUUUCAUAUUUUGCAUGUCUUAUUGAGAUGCUAUGUUAAUUGCUUCGAUUGCUUUCUAAUUGCAGGCCAUUUAUAUUUCCUGUCUGUAGCAUGUGUGUUAAUGGACAAAUACAGUCCAUAGUUUGGACUGUCCUAGAGUAUUCCUGUCCUUCCCCCUCACCUUUUUUUUUUUCCAGAUCUGCUGAAUUGAGAAUUGGUAGUGUAGCCUACCUAGGUGAUAAAAUGACUGUUUCCCUUGGUACAAUAAACCUCAGGCAGCUUCCACUCUUUACUUCCCAAAAUGGUUCUUUUGUUCUGAAAGCACAGAUAGCUUUCCUGUAGAAAAGCUACCUCAAAAAGCUGCCAUGAGAACUUGGAAAUGGCAGUUUUCUGGGGUGGUUUGUCAAUCCCAGUAAGAGACCGAUAUUUUACAUGAGUAUGAUAGGAAAUGCAAAUCUGUGUUAAUAAUGUAGCAUAUCUUGUACAUGAGCAAGCAAGAACAAGCAGACUGGCCGCAGAACUCCUGGCCCAAGCAUCAAACCAUGUUACUGUGUUUAAAGUUGUGUGGUAGCUGAGAAAAUUCAUUCUUGAAAUGCAUCUAAUUUUUUACAAAUACCUCUGAAAAGAUAAUGCUACAAAAGGUACAAAAGUGGUACAGUAUAUAGGCUGGUUCCUAUUGCAAAAAAAAAAAAAAAACCUUGUAAAGCCAUAAAAUUAACUAAUAGUUUUCAGGAGGUAGAAAUUUAGUAGCAAUAACAGUUUUGCAUGUGUAGCGAGUGGCUUCAGCAGGGUUUGUAGAGUAAGUGAUUGCUACCUGAGUUUGUGGGGUUCUCUGACCAAUAGAAUGGCACAGAAGGAAAAAUGAUGCUGUGGGCAAAGAUCAUAUAAAAGGUACUUUGUUCUAAAACAGUAUGAAUGUAUAUGGCUAUGUAAUUGUGUUAGAAAAAUGAACUUCUGUUGGAGGCUGACCCAUUUUUCUAAGGCACAGGGUCAGAGCUGUUGCUGUGAACCCUUCCUGGAAAUAUCCGGGCAGUCCCAGGGAAUCCAACCCUCGAACUUUUUCUUUCAUAUGUUCUCCAUGCCAUCUACUCUACGGUUUCUUCAAUCUUUGUUCCUCAUCUUUCUCCAUGGGCUUCCAGGUUCACUUUCAGGAAGCAAGUGUGGGGGUGUAUGGGUCAAGGGUUGAAAAUAAGUGAACAGUAUGCUUUUCUCAUGCUUAUGGUUUGAAGUUAGAAUUUAAAGGUGAAAAGGAAUAGCCAAAGACUCUUAACAGACUUUUUAAAAAACCUUUGUCUAAUGCAGAUGUACUGAAGCUUCUGGUCUAUGACUGCUCAUUUUUAAUUUAUUUAUUUAUGUUUUUAACAAGCAAAACCUGGGAAACUACUUUUUCUUGAUCUCUGGAAUCACAUAUAACAGUGGAAAAGGCAUGACCUCUCUUCCUUUUGCAUCAUGUCCACACUGGCCAUCGGCACCUUGAAGAUCCAAGAAAAGGCUGGCUCUCUGGGCCCUUAGUGUCCCAAGGGAAAAAUCUCAAAAGUUGUUUAGAUUGAAGAGUAUCAUGAAUAUUCAGUUGCUAAAGGGGCAAUUCCAGUAGACAGGGAAAAGUUUUAAAUUGAUUACAGCUCUUCUAAAUGUCUUACACUGUCAGUUGAUGUUCGACAUUGAAACAACAAAGCAAUAUUCAAGCAUCUGCACAACCGGAGGAACAUAACUGCACUUCCAAGUGAUGGCAACAAUUGGGUUACCCUUAACAGCCAUGGUGAUGGUUCCAGUGCUAAAUAAGACAUGGCACAAGUUUUUGUAGAUUUAGAGCAUGUAUUUAAUUUUGGGAGCUGCGAUCUCAUGUUUACUUUUUAUGUACCUAUGAUAUGCAAAAUAUGAAGAGAACCUCCGCCUCCAGGAGUUUACAUUCUCAUGGUGCUGUUGGUGCAACAGAAUUGCUUCUAGUUUUUUUAGAACAUUGCUUGGCUAUUUGACCAUAUUUGGAAGGCUCCCCUGGCAGACAGUUGAA